rnacentral:lncRNA from 1 species
GAGUAAGAAAUACUUUAUUCUUGGUCUUUCGGCCAUUUUGCCUGCUUGAGGCCAAGGGGGUCACUACAAGCGGAUGCAGGGGAUGCUGCCGGCUUGAACACAAGCAGACUCCAAAUGGGAUGGGUGGCAGAGUGUGAAGAGAGGGGUUUGUCUUUAAACCUUUUUUUUUUUUUUUUUGGUUUGUUUCUUGUGUAAUUAGUGUAAUUAAGUCAUAAUUUUGUAAAGUUGCAUCUGUCUGAAGUGGUGCCUUCACAAGCCAGAAAACUUGCAUCUCAGGUGGCUUCCUAAAAACAUGCAACAACUGUGGGUGAGGCAGCCCUGAGUCUGUGGCCAUGGCCUUGACACUGUAGGACCUCAUCACUACGAGGACUGACAAACUUUAGGUGUGUCUGGAGCCCCCAACAGGACGAGGGCACAUGAGAUGUAGCAUGUGUUCUUGCAGAUAUCUCUGAGAGACAGGAGAGGAGGAAAGGGGGGAAGCUCACCCAGAUCUCUGACAAGAGGCUCGUUGGUUCGAGCUAGGUUUAAUAACGACGUCUACCAAUGUUGUGGUUUUCAUCUGCGAGUGUGUCUCAACCCUGGAAUACAUUCGGUAUUGUCAAGUUUUAAUGUCAAAUUAACUUGCCUGAAGUUGCAGCCAGGCUCUUGCGGUCUCUAAGCAACUGUUCCAAAACAGGGGCCAACAAGGGGCUGGGACGAGCGAGGCUCGAGGCAGAUCCCCCAUCUCCCUCGGGCUCUGUUUCGGGCUAGGCCACUGGUAGAUGUGCACCUGAGGGGCUGCCUCACCAUCCCUCUAGUUUCUCUGAACCAGAGGAGCCAGAAAAUACCAAUAAACUGUCCCUGACCUUGAAAAGCCAGCUUUUACGUGGUGGCCUAGCAGCAGGCACAGAAGCCGACGUAUGUUGUUUGUGUCAGCAUCCCACCGUUCCCUUCAGGGGUGAUCGUAUGGCUGGGCUUGCAGUUCCCAAAAGACACCAGCAAAUGGAGGAAAAAGAGGGGAUGGCUGGGGACAUGACACACAGGCACAGGUUCAAUGCAGAACAAUCCCCUAUGUGUUCUGACUGAAGACAGCAGGAAGAGGAGACACGAAGCUGGAUUUUCCACAGUAUUUCUCAAACGUUGUUAAACUCCCACUUGUCACAGUUUAUGGCUGCAUUCUUUCUCCUGCUCUGAGUUGAAACAAUUUUCAGUGGGAGUCCUUUGCAGUGGAUACUUCAGAAUUGUUGGCUCUGGUUUUGCUCUCUUAUAUCUUACUCUCACGAGACGACACCGUGUCCUCAAAAAAUGCCCAUACCAACCUAAAAAUCUCUAAUGUUGGCAUAAAUUAGUAUCAUGCUCAUAUCUUUUCUGUAUUUUUUCCCUUAGUUUGUUUCUAAGAUCUUACUCUUGCCCGACCCUUAUCUGUGCAUGCUUGAAGUUAGGAAUAUGAGUAACCCCGUGGAAAUGCUAAUGUUUGCAGACCUUGCUUUGUAAAUCAAGAGAUCUUCUUGUGUGUGAGUCUUGUAAGACAUUCUCUUUGGUGACAUUACUUAUAACAUCUGGGGACAUCACGUCAUUGUAGCUCAUUAGAUCUGCAAUUGGCAUGGCAGAAGCCAGCCUAACAGCUCUGAAGAUGUGUUACCAGCAGGGCAGGGAUUGCGUGGCAGGCAUCAGAAGGCAAAGUUCAGCUGCCCGAGGCUGUCCUUAACAUGAUACUUGUGUUACCGCAAGCUGAUGAAUCAAAACCACAAAGAGAGCAAAGGGGAAAUUCAAACCCUUGCAGCUGGGAGGGUCUCUGGCUCCAGCCCCUUCCCAAAAACCCAGCUCAUGGGCAAUAA